rnacentral:lncRNA from 1 species
CAACAACCACUUGCAAAAUUCACAAUUUGAGAGCUCUUAAAAAAAGCCUCUGGUGUGUUCAUAGCCAAACACUCACCAAGCACGAUGACAGGAGGCGAAAUCUCAGAGAUAUCUCAGAUUCGAUCUCAAACGCACGAUGACAUUUCUUCAUAUUCUGUUUCAGAUUCGACAUUAAACGCACGAUGAUAACAGGUGAAAUCUCAGAGAAAAGUUGGUAGUUUGAAGGAAUCAAUGAAUCAUCUGAAAUGUUGUAAAUUUGAAGGAAUAAUACCGGAUAGGUUGCUGUGAAAAAAGUAUGCUCUGAAGAUUGCUGUGAAGAUUUUGUGCUUCCAUGCUAACACGCUUUGCGAUGGAAGUAAUGGCUGGAUCGGUAGCAUACAACGUGGCGAGUAGGCUUAGUGUUUAAAACGUUCCAUGCAAACAAUAGUAGUAAAGACUAUGUUUUUGCUUUUCCAAUAUGUGGUUAUUUGUUUGUUUGUUUGGGUUAUUUUUUGUAUGUAAACUCGAUGUUUAGUUGGUUAGC